ensembl:ncRNA asRNA:CR43728 antisense RNA:CR43728
UUUAUUAUAAUUAAUAAACUCACUUCGUCAUCCACCGAUUGAAAUUGCCCACUAAAGGCUGACAGUAGCUCCACUACAUGACUGUAGUAGCUCCUUAAGAUGUCACCGGAGGAACUCAGCCUGCUGGACAACUGCUGUUGGAACACAGAUAUAUCCACGGAGCCGGAAAAUGCAAAAUGCAGCAGACAAGUGCCGCAGAUCUUCUCACAAAUCCUGGCCACGCCGCGAUUAGCGCGCUUGAAUAUAAGAACUAACUCCUGGAACUCAGCGAUAAACUCUGUUCCAUCUUCAAAAAAUUCCUCGUUGAACUCGGAGCCAUAGGUGAUCUUAAAUACCCCAGGAGCAAGCUGGCGGUCACACGCUUGGAUCAGAGGACGAAAGAGUUUCCGUUCCCUAUCGCUCAAAACAGCCAGAAUGCGAUUGUGACUUAAGGCCAGUUUGAUUAUACCAUUAUAUAA